CAGCUCCAGAAGAAUGAGCCUGCACAGCUUGGACUGUCACCUCUGGCAGGUUCCUGCUCUUUGAUGAAGCCUCGUCAUAAUUACAGGUGUUUGAAAGUUCCUCCAUUGAUCUUCUCUCUCCUGCUGCCUUGUCAAGAAGGUGCCUGCUUCCCCUUUGCCUUGCACCAUGAUUCUAAGUUUCCUGAGGCCUCCCCAGCCAUGUAAAACUAGCCUUAUCUUCAACAGCUGCUAAAAUUGAAGAACAAAAAGAAUCUUUGAAACUUCCCUUCAACUGGUCAUCCUCUUCCCUUUUUCUCUCCUUUAAACACUGUUCCAAUUCAUUAUGAUGGCCCCAAAGCAAAGACAGACAUGGAAGUGAACAUUGGAGUGGAAGGAAUGACGGGGAGCAAAGGUCUGCUUUCUUUCUAUCAUUCUUGUAUCAACUCUAAAUUGAAACCCAAAUCACUGAAAUCUAAAAAAUCACAUGAAAGCAAGUCAAUGACUAAAAGAAAAUGAAAUGAGAGAUCCUAUCAGAGAAAUAUGAAAGGGAAAAUACCACUGAUUAAAUAAGUUAUGGGAAAAAUAAAUCAUUACACCAUUAAAUGUAUACGUCGACAUACUGUAUGUUGUUAUGUGCUUAUUGUCUUUCACCAGUAGAAUGUAAGUCCCAUAAGGGUAAGGACUUUAUAUAUUCUUUUCACAGCAGUGUCUCUAGUGCAUGGAACAGUUCCUAGCACAAAAUAAACAGUUGUUGAAUAAGUGAA
rnacentral:lncRNA from 10 species